CCUACGGGAGGCAGCAGUGAGGAAUAUUGGUCAAUGGGCGCGAGCCUGAACCAGCCAAGUCGCGUGAGGGAAGACGGUCCUAUGGAUUGUAAACCUCUUUUGUCGGGGAGCAAAAGACGCCACGUGUGGCGUUCCGAGAGUACCCGAAGAAAAAGCAUCGGCUAACUCCGUGCCAGCAGCCGCGGUAAUACGGAGGAUGCGAGCGUUAUCCGGAUUUAUUGGGGUUAAGGGGUGCGCAGGCGGAAGAUCAAGGCAGCGGUAAAAUUGAGAGGCUCAACCUCUUCGAGCCGUUGAAACUGGUUGUCUUGAGUGAGCGAGAAGUAUGCGGAAUGCGUGGUGUAGCGGUGAAAUGCAUAGAUAUCACGCAGAACUCCGAUUGCGAAGGCAGCAUACCGGCGCUCAACUGACGCUCAUGCACGAAAGUGUGGGUAUCGAACAGGAUUAGAUACCCGGGUAGUC
rnacentral:rRNA from 1 species